UACGUAGGGGGCAAGCGUUGUCCGGAAUCAUUGGGCGUAAAGAGCGUGUAGGCGGCCCGGUAAGUCCGCCGUGAAAGUCCAGGGCUCAACCCUGGAAAGCCGGUGGAUACUGUCGGGCUCGAGUCCGGAAGAGGCGAGUGGAAUUCCUGGUGUAGCGGUGAAAUGCGCAGAUAUCAGGAGGAACACCAAUGGCGAAGGCAGCUCGCUGGGACGGCACUGACGCUGAGACGCGAAAGCGUGGGGAGCAAACAGG
rnacentral:rRNA from 1 species